UACGAAGGGGGCGAGCGUUGUUCGGAUUUACUGGGCGUAAAGGGCGCGUAGGCGGCCUUGUCAGUCAGGCGUGAAAGCCCCGGGCUCAACCUGGGAACGGCGCUUGGGACGGCGAGGCUGGAGUUCGGGAGAGGGAAGCGGAAUUUCCGGUGUAGCGGUGAAAUGCGUAGAUAUCGGAAGGAACAUCAGUGGCGAAAGCGGCUUCCUGGUCCAGCACCGACGUUCAGGCACGAAAGCGUGGGGAGCAAACAGG
rnacentral:rRNA from 1 species